rnacentral:rRNA from 1 species
CAGCAGCCGCGGGAAUACAGAGGAUGCAAGCGUUAUCCGGAUUUACUGGGCGUAAAGCGCACGUAGGCGGACUUUUAAGUCAGGGGUGAAAUCCCGGGGCUCAACCCCGGAACUGCCUUUGAUACUGGGAGUCUUGAGUUCGAGAGAGGUGAGUGGAAUUGCUAGUGUAGAGGUGAAAUUCGUAGAUAUUCGCAGGAACACCAGUGGCGAAGGCGGCUCACUGGCUCGAUACUGACGCUGAGGUGCGAAAGCGUGGGGAGCAAACAGGAUUAGAUACCCCCGUAGUCCCUGUCUCUUAUAC